UACGUAGAGGGCAAGCGUUGUCCGGAGUUACUGGGCGUAAAGCGCACGCAGGCGGUCUCUUAAGUUUGGGGUGACAGUUGGUGGCUUAACUGCCAAAGUGCUUCGAAAACUGAGAGACUUGAGGGCUUCAGAGGGACACGGAAUUCCGGGUGGAGUGGUGAAAUGCGUAGAGAUCCGGAGGAACACCGAUGGCGAAGGCAGCGUCCUGGGGAGGACCUGACGCUCAGGUGCGAAAGCCAGGGGAGCGAACGGG
rnacentral:rRNA from 1 species